rnacentral:rRNA from 1 species
GACGAACGCUGGCGGCGUGCUUAACACAUGCAAGUCGAACGGAAAGGCCCUGCUUUUGUGGGGUGCUCGAGUGGCGAACGGGUGAGUAACACGUGAGUAACCUGCCCUUGACUUUGGGAUAACUUCAGGAAACUGGGGCUAAUACCGGAUAGGAGCUCCUGCUGCAUGGUGGGGGUUGGAAAGUUUCGGCGGUUGGGGAUGGACUCGCGGCUUAUCAGCUUGUUGGUGGGGUAGUGGCUUACCAAGGCUUUGACGGGUAGCCGGCCUGAGAGGGUGACCGGCCACAUUGGGACUGAGGUACGGACCAGACUCCAACGGGAGGCAGCAGGGGGGAAUAUUACACAGUGGGCGGAAGCCUGAUGCAGCGGCGCCGCGUGCGGGAUGACGGCCUUCGGGGUGUAAACCGCUUUCGCCUGUGACGAAGCGUGAGUGACGGUAAUGGGUAAAGAAGCACCGGCUAACUACGUG